rnacentral:tRNA from 1 species
GCCUUCGUGGUGUAGCGGUCAGCACGCUUGACGCGUAACCGAGAGGUCCGUGGUUCGAUUCUCGGCGAAGGCG